GAUGAACGCUAGCAGCAGGCUUAACACAUGCAAGUCGAGGGGCAGCGCGGGAUAGCAAUAUCCUGGCGGCGACCGGCGGAAGGGUGCGUAACGCGUGAGCGACAUGCCCGUUGCCCGGGGACAACCGGUGGAAACGCCGACUAAUCCCCGAUGGGAUAUUGUGCCGCAUGGCACGAUAUUGAAAGUUACGGCGGCGACGGAUUGGCUCGCGUCCGAUUAGCUUGUUGGCGGGGUAACGGCCCACCAAGGCUGCGAUCGGUAGGGGUUCUGAGAGGAAGGCCCCCCACAAUGGGACUGAGACACGGCCCAUACUCCUACGGGAGGCAGCAGUGAGGAAUAUUGGUCAAUGGGCGGAAGCCUGAACCAGCCAUGCCGCGUGCGGGAAGGAGGCCCUAUGGGCUGUGAACCGCUUUUGCCUGGGGGCAAUAAGGGCGUCGCGCACGUCCGAUGAGAGUACCAGGCGAAUAAGCAUCGGCUAACUCCGUG
rnacentral:rRNA from 1 species